rnacentral:rRNA from 1 species
GAUGAACGCUAGCGGCAGGCCUAACACAUGCAAGUCGAGGGGUAGAGGAAGCUUGCUUCCUUGAGACCGGCGCACGGGUGCGUAACGCGUAUGCAAUCUACCUUUUACAGAGGGAUAGCCCAGAGAAAUUUGGAUUAAUACCUCAUAGUAUCUUUGCCUGGCAUCGGGUGAUUAUUAAAGUUCCAACGGUAAAAGAUGAGCAUGCGUCCUAUUAGUUAGAUGGUAAGGUAACGGCUUACCAUGGCAACGAUAGGUAGGGGUCCUGAGAGGGAGUUCCCCGCCACUGGUACUGCGACACGGACCAGACUCCUACGGUGGGCAUCAGUGAGGAAUAUUGGACAAUGGACGCAAGCCUGAUCCAGCCAUGCCGCGUGCAGGAAGACGGUCCUAUGGAUUGUAAACUGCUUUUGUACGGGAAGAAACACUCCCUCGUGAGGGAGCUUGACGGUACCGUAAGAAUAAGGAUCGGCUAACUCCGUGCCAGCAGCCGCAGUAAGAC